rnacentral:lncRNA from 1 species
UUUUGUACAUUUUAACAUUCAAUUAUUUUUAACAGUAACACGUUGGUAAGAAAGAAAAGAAAAAACUGCUUUUUAUCAAGGUUGGAUUAUAAAAAUAUUUAUUUAUUUUAAGGUGGGGUUGGUUUGGCUUGGUUUGGUUUGGCUUAGAUUUAGUUACAAAAAAGGUGUAACAUUUUUUUUAAAGAAAAGUUACAAGUAGUGUGCAACUAUAAUAAUGAUAAGAACACAAUAAAAACGUAAUAGAUAAUUAACAAAAAAAAAAAAAAAAAAAAAACAAAAAAUAAGCACCAGCUCACACACGAUACAUAUCUAUAUAUAUAUGUACAUUAAUACAUAUAUAUAUAAAUAUAUAUAUAUAUAUAUAUACAUAUGUCUACUCUUAUGUGUACAUAAGUAUACUUUUAAAAAAAAAUGAAAGAAAAAAGGUAUAAAACAAAAAGUUUAACUAACGAAAAAAAAAAUGAUGCCGGUUUAACUAAUAAUACAAAACGUAAAGAAAAAAAAAAAAGUUUAACUAACGAAAAAAAAAAUGAUGCCGAUUUAACUAAUAAUACAAAACCUAAAGAACAAAAGAAAAGUUCAACGAACAAAACGUAUGAUUAUAACAAUAUAAACGAAGAUGUUGUCAAGCAAAAUGAAGAAGGAAAAAAGCGAAGUUGUAACAAGGACAAUACGACUAGUGAGUUUAAAAUAGAAAGUAAAGUAAAUACGAUUAAAAAUAAAACAACGAACGACAAUAUUAAUAAUUACCUGCAUGUAGCUAACAUUAAGUUAAGAAGUAGCAGCGCACCAAUUAAUGUUACAAAUAUGAGGGAUAUUUAUGAGGGCCUAAUCAAUAUUAAAAAAAACAAAACAAAACAAAACAAUAGUAACAAUAUUAAUACUAAUGCUAAUAAAAUGAUUAGUUAUAGCUACACAUUGGCUAGUAAAAAAAUCGAAGAAGAAAAAAAAGAAGAUAGUAAAAUUUAUAUUGAAUCUAAAAUAUUUUAUGAUUACAAAAUAAUACCAAACACCAAAAAUAAGAGUAAAAAUAGUAGGACUAGUACUAGUAACAAUAAUAGUAGUAGUAAUAAUAAUAAAAAUAAUAAUGAAAAUAAUAAUAAAAAUAAUAAUAAAGAUCAUAAUAAAGAUCAUAAUAAAGAUCAUAAUAAAGAUCAUAAUAAAGAUCAUAAUAAAAAUAAUAAUAAAAAUUUUAAUAAAAAUACUAAUGAAAAUUUUAAUAAAAUUAAAAAUACCUCUUAUAAUGACAUUAAAAGUGAUAACGAUAACAUAAACAUUCUCAAUGACCAAAUAGAAAAUUUAAAAAUACAAAGUGAAGAUAACAAUAAUGUAAAUAAUAAUAAGAGGAAAACGGUGUUAGGUUAUGACCAUUUUACUUAUAGACAACAAUUAUUAAAUGUAAAAGAUUUAAAUAUUAUAAAAAAUUUUCCCUUAAGUAUUUUUGUAGGCACAUGGAAUUGUGAGUAUAUUGAUUUCAGUAAGGACACUUUUCAUAAAAAAAAAAGACAUACAACAAAUUAUUUAAACGAAAAAUCUGUAAAUGAUAUGUCCAAUUUAAAAUAUAAUGAACAGUGUUUUAAGAGAUCUAUGACUCCAACGGUUGAUAUAUAUACUAAUACAUGUACAGAUACAGAAAUGAGUCCUGCUAUUAAUACUUUUAGCCACAGUAACACAGUGUAUACUAAUGUAAGUUGUGCAUCUGAUAGUUUAAAAAUGAAUACCCAAACAAGAUGUAAUUUAUUAAACGUGAUUGAUAACUUAAAUUUAAAUUCAAACACUUUUCGUCGUGAUAUUUCUCCAUACAUAGAUAAUAAAAGUAACGAAAGUGUUAAUAAAGGUGCAUGUUUUAAUAUACAUAACUAUGAACAAAAAAACGACUGUGAAAAAAAAAACGACUAUGAACAAAAAAACGACUAUGAACAAAAAAACGACUAUGAACAAAAAAAUGACUAUGAACAAAAAAAUGACUAUGAACAAAAAAAUGACUAUGAACAAAAAAAUGACUAUGAACAAAAAAAUGACUAUGAACAAAAAAACGACUGUGAACAAAAAAACGACUGUGAACAAAAAUAUGGUAAAAAAGUUAGUGAAAGAGAAAAUUUAAAUUGGGUGUAUGGAAACUCUAAGGAAAACAAAAAAAAAAAUUCUUUUUCAUCUAAAGAAAAUCAACCUACACAUGUAGAUGUAGACACGAAAGAUUACACAAAUAAAAAAAGUAAAUAUAAAAUAAAUGUAAUGCACAUUGAAGAUACCCAUGUUGAAAAAAAAAAUUGUGAUAAACAUGUUGAAAAUAAACAUAUUGAUAAACAUGAUGAACAAAAACAUAUUAAUAGACACAGUGAAAACAAACAUACGAAAGACCAACACGUUAUACGUGUUAUUAACGAGAAUAAACAAGUAAUUACUACCAAUGUAAAAAACUAUGAUUCAUUAAAUCUUAAAGCAAAAAAACAACAUACAUUUUCACAGUGGAUACGCCCUUAUCAAGACAUUUAUGUCAUAUGUUUACAAGAGUGUACAUCUGACAGUAUUUUUGAACAUAUAUCAACAUUUCUAAAAGAAAUAAAUCAAGAAACAUAUGAGUUUUUACCAUUAGCUGAUUAUAAAUUGUCUGGGUAUGGUGAUGGUGCACUUUUACAAAUGAAAUCAACUACGAUAUCUAUUUGGAUUCGUAAAUCUAGACUUCAUCCUAGAGGUCCAGUGAAAUUAUGUGCAUCGAAAGCUAUAGCUUUUAACAAAUUAAAUAAUAGUAAAGGUUGUGUAUCAAUAUUAUUAAACAUUUUUAACCAGUUUGUUUUAUUUAUUGGUUGUCAUAUGCCAGCAAAAGAUGAACAGUUAAGACAAAAAUCAAGAGAAUUUAUAUUAAACAAAUUAAGCUAUUAUUAUAGUAAUAAAAUUACUACAAAUUUUAAACACGUUUUUCAUCAUAUCAUAUGGGCUGGGGAUUUUAAUUUUAGAGUAAGUGGUAUUGAAAUGGUUGAAUUCAUUAAGCAUUUACAAAUAUAUAAUUUAAAAGAAUUAUUAAAAUAUGAUGAAGCGCAUAAAGAUAUAUCACAAGACAUCAAAAUGACGUUUAAAGAACAAACAAUUAAUUUUUUGCCUACUUAUAAAAAAAAUGAAAAUAGACCUACAAUUAAUAAUAAUGAUUAUGAUUGGGUACAUAAAGAAUAUAAACUUGUUCAUAACAUCAAGUGGUACAAGGGUGGAAAGCAAGAAAGUCGAAUUCCUUCCGUAAGUUUUUAUAUAAAUUUGUAAUAAAUGUAUAUCCAUAUGGUUCAUACAUAUAAAUAGUAGGCGUUUACACGAUGUAAUCACACAUUAUCUUGCUUUUGUUUUUUAUUAUUUUGAAAUUUUACCAUUUUUUUUUUUUUUUUCAUAGUGGACCGAUCGCGUUUUCAAAUGGUCAUGCGAAAAAACAGAGAAUUCCUUAACAUUCGUUCCUAAUUCGUACAUAUCUGCUCAGCCAACAGAAAGAAGUAAUUAAAUAAUAAUUUCAACGUUUAUAUAUAUAUAUAUAUAUAUAUACAUACAUACAUACGUAUGUGUAUGUAUGUAUGUUUAUACGUAUGUAUAUGUAAGUCAUACGUAUGUGCAUGCGAAUCUUUACUAUGAUAGAAUUCGAUUGUAUAUACAUUUUACAUGUAUACACGCAUGUAUAUAUAUAUAUAUUUUUUUUUUUUUUUUUUUUUUUAUUUAUUUUCAUCAAGAUUUAUUAAUGGCGAGCGAUCAUAGCCCUGUUGCAUGUUGUUUUAAAAUGUACAAAAUGGAAAAAGAUAAGGACAUACCCAAAGCUAAAGUAAUAAUUGCGCAUUAAGAAAAAAAAAAAAAAAAAAAAAAAAAAAAAAAAAAAAAAAAAAAAAAAAGGAACUCUUUUAUAUAUGUUAUCAAUGAGACUUUUAUAUGUCAACAAUGCAAACCAAUAUAGACAAUGUUUGCGUAGGUUUGUUUAUAAUACAUUAAAAAUACAGAGUUAUUAUCAUACCAUUUACAUAAAAGUUUUAUAUCAACAUAUAUGUGCACCUGUAUUUGUAAUUACGUGUGUUGUAUAUAUGUAUGUAUGUAUGUAUGUGCCUUUUUUUUUUUUUUUUUUUUUUUCUGUAGAAUGUUUGGAAUAUUUAGAAACUGUUGUUGGAUAAUCUAUCUUAAGUUUUUUAGUUAUAAAUAAUAUGCACCAAUAGUACAUACUACUAAAUAACAUUCAACACUAUUAAUGUUAUAUAUUGUGUUUUACUCUUAGCCUCACACAC